rnacentral:rRNA from 1 species
CCUACGGGUGGCAGCAGUGGGGAAUAUUGGACAAUGGGGGAAAGCCUGAUCCAGCAACGUCGCGUGAGUGAAGAAGUAUCUCGGGAUGUAAAGCUCUAUUUGCAGGGAAGAAGAUGACGGUACCUGAUCAAGAAGCCCCGGCUAACUACGUGCCAGCAGCGGCGGUAACACGUAGGGGGCAAGCGUUAUCCGGAUUUACUGGGUGUAAAGGGAGCGCAGACGGCAGUGCAAGUCUGGAGUGAAAGCCUGGGGCCCAACCCCGGAACUGCACUGGAAACUGGGCGGCUAGAGUACUGGAGGGGCAGGCGGAAUUCGUGGUGUAGCGGUGAAAUGCGUAGAUAUUAGGAAGAACACCAGUGGCGAAGGCAGCCUGCUGGACAGUAACUGACGUUGAGGCUCGAAAGUGUGGGGAGCAAACAGGAUUAGAUACCCUUGUAGUC